rnacentral:rRNA from 1 species
ACUCUUCGGAGUUAGUGGCGGACGGGUGAGUAACACGUGGGAACGUGCCUUUAGGUUCGGAAUAACUCAGGGAAACUUGAGCUAAUACCGGAUGUGCCCUUCGGGGGAAAGAUUUAUCGCCUUUAGAGCGGCCCGCGUCUGAUUAGCUAGUUGGUGAGGUAAAGGCUCACCAAGGCGACGAUCAGUAGCUGGUCUGAGAGGAUGAUCAGCCACAUUGGGACUGAGACACGGCCCAAACUCCUACGGGAGGCAGCAGUGGGGAAUCUUGCGCAAUGGGCGAAAGCCUGACGCAGCCAUGCCGCGUGAAUGAUGAAGGUCUUAGGAUUGUAAAAUUCUUUCACCGGGGACGAUAAUGACGGUACCCGGAGAAGAAGCCCCGGCUAACUUCGUGCCAGCAGCCGCGGUAAUACGAAGGGGGCUAGCGUUGCUCGGAAUUACUGGGCGUAAAGGGAGCGUAGGCGGACAUUUAAGUCAGGGGUGAAAUCCCGGGGCUCAACCUCGGAAUUGCCUUUGAUACUGGGUGUCUUGAGUAUGAGAGAGGUGUGUGGAACUCCGAGUGUAGAGGUGAAAUUCGUAGAUAUUCGGAAGAACACCAGUGGCGAAGGCGACACACUGGCUCAUUACUGACGCUGAGGCUCGAAAGC